rnacentral:rRNA from 1 species
UUGGAGGGCAAGUCUGGUGCCAGCAGCCGCGGUAAUUCCAGCUCCAAUAGCGUAUAUUAAAGUUGUUGCAGUUAAAAAGCUCGUAGUUGAAUUUCGGGAUCAAAUUGUUGGUCGUGCCUCGGUACGCACUGGUAUUAUUGGUUCCUACCUUCUGAAGAACCGCGAUGUCAUUAAUUUGGUGUCGUGGGGAAUCAGGACUGUUACUUUGAAAAAAUUAGAGUGUUUAAAGCAGGCUUACGCUUGAAUACAUUAGCAUGGAAUAAUGAAAUAGGACAUUUGAUUCUAUUUUGUUGGUUUCUAGGAUUGACGUAAUGAUUAAUAGGGAUAGUUGGGGGCAUUAGUAUUCAAUUGUCAGAGGUGAAAUUCUUGGAUUUAUUGAAGACUAACUACUGCGAAAGCAUUUGCCAAGGAUGUUUUCAUUAAUCAAGAACGAAAGUUAGGGGAUCGAAGACGAUCAGAUACCGUCGUAGUCUUAACCAUAAACUAUGCCGACUAGGGAUCGGAUGAUGUUAAUUUUUUAAUGACUCAUUCGGCGCCUUACGGGAAAC